CCUACGGGAGGCAGCAGUGGGGAAUAUUGGACAAUGGAGGCAACUCUGAUCCAGCAAUGCCGCGUGUGUGAUGAAGGCCCUAGGGUUGUAAAGCACUUUCAACUGUGAAGAUAAUGACGGUAGCAGUAGAAGAAACCCCGGCUAACUCCGUGCCAGCAGCCGCGGUAAUACGGAGGGGGUUAGCGUUGUUCGGAAUUACUGGGCGUAAAGCGUACGUAGGCGGAUUAAUAAGUUAGAGGUGAAAUCCCAGGGCUCAACCCUGGAACUGCCUUUAAAACUGUUAGUCUUGAGAUCGAGAGAGGUGAGUGGAAUUCCAAGUGUAGAGGUGAAAUUCGUAGAUAUUUGGAGGAACACCAGUGGCGAAGGCGGCUCACUGGCUCGAUACUGACGCUGAGGUACGAAAGUGUGGGGAGCAAACAGGAUUAGAUACCCUGGUAGUCCACACCGUAAACGAUGAAUGCCAGACGUCAGCAAGCAUGCUUGUUGGUGUCACACCUAACGGAUUAAGCAUUCCGCCUGGGGAGUACGGUCGCAAGAUUAAAACUCAAAGGAAUUGACGG
rnacentral:rRNA from 1 species